AUGGCCCAGGGACUCGCAGCCCCACAGCGGCCGAGGCUCCACGGACGUCGCUCUUGGGAAACGCACAGGCCCCGACUCGGCAGGCGGGCCAAGGAAGGAACCACGCGCGGAGCUCCCACAGCACCAACCCGCCCUUUCGCCGCGCGCAACCCAUUCCUGUACCCACCGGAGGGACGGAGAAGGUGCCCCCGGGGCCCGGCCGCAGCGGGAGGCCAGUCGCCCGCUCAGGUCCCCCAGCGCCGCCGCCCAGCUCCGGGAGCGACUCUCGCCAGGCCCGCCGUGCCCAGCUUCAGCCCGGUCCCGGGACCGAUCCCUNGCCGCCCAGCUCCGGGAGCGACUCUCGCCUUCUCUCGCCAGGCCCGCCGUGCCCAGCUUCAGCCCGGUCCCGGGACCGAUCCCUGCGGCCGCGGCGGGCACGCCCGGGUAGCAGCAGCCCCGCCUUCGCCCCUCUCGCAGGCUGCGUCGGGCGGCUGGUGUAAGUUCACAAUGCUGGGGAUUCCUGGUCGUCUAACUAAGAAUCAAUGUCUUGCUGCUGCUGCUACCUGGACAAUCUUGAAAAGCUGAGCUGCUAACACCUGGCCCAAGAAAUGUAGGAAGGUUGCAGAAUGAGGGAUAUGACCUAAGAAUCUAUAGGACGGAUACCAAAUGGGCACACAAGCUUCAGUGCAAAAAAAUCAUGUAUAUUUUAAUUAAGCAUGUGAUUAAGUUAUACAGAGCUGCUUUGUGGACACCAAAGGAAUAGCAUCUCAGUUCAACGCUACCUGAAUCUCCCCACUAUCAGCUUUUCAAAAUUACAAUACAAGCACUCUAGCUUAGUUAGAUUUCCAGGAGGAUGAUAGGUAGGAGUUCCAAUAGAUGCAUGGGAAUAUUCCAUAAAAUAUUUGUUGAAUGAUUUUUAUUGUUUCCCUGCUGUGAUUACUAUUAUUAACUAUACUUUUAUUUUCUUUGGAUAACAAAAGAAAUAGUAAGGAUUGGAAGAAAUUGUAAUAUUAUACUGAAUAUAUUAAAUAUAGAUACUUGUAGAACUUCAAUGGAAAUAAGUUAUUAUUGAAGAAACAUUUUUGAGGAUACUGUAAGUAAUUAAGACCUCUAGCCUCUAUUGGUAUAUACACACAAUUUAUUUAUUGCAGAGAAAUGUUUAAGCUUAUGACUAAACCAUGUGAUUAGAUAAACGAGUACUUCCUUAAGCUUUGUCCUUCUCACUUGGUUUCUCUCAAACAAUAAUUAUAUUUCUGAUCAGGCCAUAGCUUUCAGCUGGUAGAAAGAACACUGUAGCCAUUCUUCUACUGUUUGCCUAUUCUACUGCAGUUAUCAACGUGUGUUUCUACAAAUUGUAAUUAUGGAUACAGAUUUCUAAGUGGCCAGUGGUGUUUAAAAAGUCUGGAAUCCAAGCAUGUUUAUGACAAAUUUAGGCAACGUCAGCUGCUUAUUGGGAGAUUUCCAUUGCUAGUGGAAAAAUGUUGUCAAGAAGUCAAAUGUGAAUUACCAAUAGCAUCACAUGUGAUUCGCUCUGCUUCAUUCACAAAUGGCUUAUAUGUAUCUAAAAUAUGUUGGGAUAUGACACUCUUUAUUUCUUAUACAGUAUUUUUAUGUUUAUAUGAGACAAUAAUGCCACCCCAAAUCCUCAGUCAUAAGGAAUCAGAAGGUAAAAUUUGAUUUAUAGUGUCACAAAUGGCUCUCAACUUACUGAUUUGAAAUUGUUGUAACUCUUCCUUUUCUGAAACAACUGAUUGCUUCCUUACUCCUAGGAUCCUAGACCAUCUUUGGAAUAUUUAUCUGUAUUAAACAUUCUUUACCAUAUGUUGCAUAAUCGCUUAAAACACAUAGCUUUAGAUUCUGUUUAAAUUUCUUCUGAAACUAGGCUGUCCAUGAUUAUAUCUGCCCACCCCAUCAGAUCUAGCAGAGAGAUCUGUGGGUCUCAUAUGUUGAGGGGAUCCCAGGAGAUUGGUCUUCUCUGCCGUGGUGCCAACCUUAUGGAAAAUUCUCCCACCCCCCUCCAAGUCAGAUUAGCUCUGUCCCAGUUAAUACCGUAUUUUUCAUAUAAUAAGGC
ensembl:lncRNA